rnacentral:rRNA from 1 species
AUUGAACGCUGGUGGCGUGCCUAAUACAUGCAAGUCGAACGCAGUUCCGAACGGGUGAGUAACGCGUAGGUAACUGCCUCAUAGCGGGGGAUAACUAUUUGAAACGGUAGCUAAUACCGGAUACUUUGAGCUGGACCUGCGUUGUUUUAGCUAGUUGGUGGGGUAAAGGCUCACCAAGGCGUCGAUACAUAGCCGACCUGGGAGGGUGGUCGGCCAAAAUGGGAAUGGGGAAAGGGCCAGGAUCCUUCGGGGAGGAGGAGUAGGGAAAUAUCGGCAAUGGACGGAAGUCUGAACGAGCAACGGCGGGUGAGUGGAGAAGGUUUUCGGAGCGGAAAGCUCUGUUGUUAGAGAAGCGGUAACUAACCAGAAAGGGACGGCUAACUACGUGCCAGCCGCCGCGGUAAUUC